CAGUAGCCGCGGGAAUACGAAGGUGGCUAGCGUUGCUCGGAAUUACUGGGCGUAAAGGGAGCGUAGGCGGACUUUUAAGUCAGGGGUGAAAUCCCGGGGCUCAACCCCGGAACUGCCUUUGAUACUGGAAGUCUUGAGUAUGGUAGAGGUGAGUGGAAUUCCGAGUGUAGAGGUGAAAUUCGUAGAUAUUCGGAGGAACACCAGUGGCGAAGGCGGCUCACUGGACCAUUACUGACGCUGAGGUGCGAAAGCGUGGGGAGCAAACAGGAUUAGAUACCCCAGUAGUCCCUGUCUCUUAUAA
rnacentral:rRNA from 1 species